rnacentral:lncRNA from 1 species
GAGCGCUGAUGACUGAGCUGCUGGCGUUCGCAGGAACCUAACUGACUCGGUGGUUGGAGCGGGGGAGUGAGGUUAAUGGGAAUCAGGAGGCUCUCUGAGCCCCGGGGCCUAGUCUUCCUCGUUCUUGUUCCCCUCUCCUUGCCUGAGUGGUCUGUGGUGACCAGCCAGGUUCCUUUACAGGAAACAGCCCAGCAACCUUACAGGGGGAAAAAUGGAGUCCUCCUUAGGUGCAGAAACACAGCAACUUACCUAAGGUCUUGGGGCCCCCUCCCAGGGCAGUGCAUCGAGGUGGGACGUGAGAAGAGAAAAGGGCUUGUCCAGAGGCGCGCGGUUCCACAGCCCAUAAGGUUGGGGGUGGCCCGAACC